UGAUGAUUACGUAUCCCUACAGAUUUUUACUAAACACCCUGACGAACGCGACACCUGGUGAUACGUAUUCAAAGCGCUGCCAAUUGCACAAGCUGCACUUAUACACAGCAACGAUUCCACAGCUGCUGGUAGAAAUAAACACGGUUAUGAGGCUCAACGAAUAAGGCACUUGAGGAUGGAUAGUGUUUGAGUUUCCAAGUUCGAUCCCUGGUGAGAUAUUUCUUUCAUUAUGCUAGGUUUCCGCUGUUCCAUGUCAUAUCCCACUGCCGAGUAUGGAUUACAGACUGCGAUAGCGCGAACAUCACGAUUUUUGGCAAUAAGAUUGCAGAAAACCUAAAUAAAGCAAGUCUAUUUCAA